rnacentral:lncRNA from 12 species
UUAAUGAUUUCCAGUGGUACAUAAAAUAAAAUCAAAUAGCUUGACAGUAGCCUUAAGGCCCUGUAUGAUUUGAUCUCCGAGUAUUUAUUCAACAUUAUCUCUAUUCUUCCCCUUUCAGAUUUUCUCCAACUACUCUCUCUGCUUACCUUGCAGACACUAAGGCACUAAGCUUGUUUCUACCUCAAGGCCUUUGCACUUGUUUUACUUUCUGGACCUCCUGCAGUUACUAGUUCCCUCAAAGAAGAAUUCACUAAAGAAGGAUUAUCUUUCUUCAUAGAAGAGAACCUUUUUUGGACAAAAGUAUAUGAGUUAAGCCUUUUUCCUACUGAAACAGCCAAACUAGAUUUUGCAGUUCCAAUGCUGUUAUCAUUCUUCGGGCCGCGCUCCUGAAGCCGCCA